rnacentral:rRNA from 1 species
CAAUAGCGUAUAUUAAAGUUGUUGCAGUUAAAAAGCUCGUAGUUGGACCUUGGACCUGGACAGGCGGUCCGCCUCACGGCGAGUACUGUCUUGCUGGGUCUUUCCUCUUGGUGAUCUGUCGUUUCGGCAGCAGGGAACCAGGACCUUUACUUUGAAAAAAUUAGAGUGUUCAAAGCAGGCUCGACGCCGGAAUAUAUUAGCAUGGAAUAAUAAAAUAGGACGUGCGGUUCUAUUUUGUUGGUUUUUGGAAUCGCCGUAAUGAUUAAUAGGGACAGUCGGGGGCAUUAGUACUCACAUGCUAGAGGUGAAAUUCUUGGAUUUUGUGAAGACUAACUUCUGCGAAAGCAUUUGCCAAGGAUGUUUUCAUUAA